AAGCCACCCUCUCCCAUUUUCCUUCACUUUCUUCCAUUCCACCUUAUUUGGUGAAACUUUCCUAGCCUGAGCAUGUAGGCAUGAAGCUUUUUGGAGUUCCAAGACCUUCACACAGCUGGACUUCUCCAUGUGGGUGAGGAGCCACCCACUUUUUCUUCUUGUUUUCUCACCAAAGCUUGCAGAGGAAAGAAUGGGUAAGGGUGCUUGGUCAAAAAGGUGAUUAGCACAUGGGUUUGCUUGGUUUUGGUGGUUUGGCUGCGAUCUAGUUUUAACAGAGAUGCAUGGCGUUGAAUAUUUUAUAAGGUGUUGGGCUGGGCUAUUUUGUUUCUAGCGGCUUGUGAGUUCCCUUUGAUUUCGUCAGAUUGCUGGAAGCUUUGGCUGAUGUGGGAUUUUCUCACGUGUUAUGGGCUAUUAGGUUUUAUAAGGUGAUGGGCUACUAGGUUUUCUCUCAUGUUUACCCAUAUGUUUGGGCUGAAGGAAUGGGCUUGAGUUUUGGUGCUCCCAAGUAGCCCAAAACUUCCACUUCUUGGACCAUCAAUGGGCCUCGCGAAUACUCGUAACCGUCCAUACAACAACCCACUCAGCAAGCCUCAGGCAUUGGUGUGGCUUGGGCCCACUUAAGCUUGUAGUGUGGCAUGUUGCGUAUUUGCUUAGCGUGGCAUGUGUGCAAGCGCAUAUGAUGAACUUUCGCAUGCCCAAAUCAGGUUUCUUCUCGGUAAGGUAUCACAUUGGACCGGGAAUGUAUUUCGGCCUAGCCUUGGAUUUUUUGGGUCUCAACAUUAGCCCCCUUGAUUAUUGGGGCCAUGAAUGUGUAUUGAAAUGGUCCAAAUAAUCAAUUUCCAGCACAAAAUAAAUGGCAGUGGCAUGGCAUGGCAUGACAUGAGUUUAGGAACACCUCAAGAAUGACUAGUUCAGUAUCUCUAAAAUUAUAGCCAGGUUUUUUCUGGGAAGGUUGGAGGGGUCGCAAUGGUCCCGCUUAUAACCCAAUCCUUCUUAAACACCGAGGGUGUUGCCUUGAAGAACUUUCCUAGACACUGUAAUUUUGGAGGUCAAUUACUAGAGUUACCAAGAGUUGGCCUAUUUUGUGGCAUGAUAGAGAAGAAGAUGCUUGGUGGAUUAGCUCAGAAUAACUUAGCUUGCAUGAUUUAUUUGCUUGAGUGACUAGAGAGGUUUGAUUUUGCAUGGUUGUGAUUUGCAAGAGUUGUAUUGAUUUGCAUGCUUGAUGUUGGCAUGUAUUCUUGGUAUUUGGCUUGAUGCUUGGCAUUGGCAUGUAUGCUUGAUUUUGGCUUGAUGCUCGGCAUUGGCGUGUAUGCUUGAUUUUAGCUUGUAUGCUUGGAUGCUUGGCAUUGGCAUGUAUGCUUGAUUUUGGCUUGUAUGCUUGGAUGCUUGGUAUCGGCAUGUAUGCUUGGCUUUGGCUUGUAUGCUUGGCAUUGGCAUGUAUGCUUGGCUUUGGCUUGGAUGCUUGGCAUUGGCAUGUACGCUUGAUUUUGGCUUGUAUGCUUGGAUGCUUGACAUUGGCAUGUAUGCUUGGAGGCUUGGCAUUAGCAUGUAUGCUUGGAUGCUUGGCAUUGGCAUGUAUUGAGUUUACAGCACCAACCCCAGAACACUUGAAUUUGGUAGACAAAACCUCAGUGAAGGUGAUAGCGUGCGACAUGAUGGCUAGAUAUUGGAAGAAUGCUUGAAAUAGGGCAUGUGCUGGAAGGGUAUUUGAAAUAGGGUAUGUGCUAGAAGGAUAUUUGAAACAGGGCAUGUGCUGGAAUGAUGUUUGAAAUAGGGCAUGUGCUGGAAGGAUGUUUGAAAUAAGGCAUGUGCUAGAAGAAUGCUUGAAAUAGGGCAUGUGCUGGAAGGAUAUUUGAAACAGGGCAUGUGCUGGAAAGAUGUUUUGUUUGGCAUGGAAUAGGUGCUGGAAAAACUUGACUUGGCUUGGUAUGAUUAGCUUGGAUUUGGAUAAUCUAAUGGUUGAGUUGAAUCAAGAUAUAGCUUGAUCUGGCAUGAGGGUUCACUCUUCCGGCAGCAUGAAUAUAGAGCUUGUGUUAUUUUCCAGGAGCAUCUCGUAUAGCGCAUCAUUAUCUUCCAACUUUUGCUUGGCUUGAAUCUUGGUUAUUGGGGUUUUGGAAUUGAUGGUUGUGGUGAUUGCAAUGAAUUCCUUCCUCAGCCCCCAAGUGCACCAUAAUCAUCAUAAAAAGAUUUGAUUAGCAUGAGCUGCAAAAACUCUUGCAGCAUGGCCUUCUGACUAUCUGUUUGGGAUAUUGCAUGGCAUGAUGAACUUAGGAUAUCCCUUUGUUGCAAUGGUGAAAAUUUGGCAUAUGACAACAUGACUUCUUCUUUGGUUUGAAAAAAAUUUGCUUAGCACGAAGCCCCCAAGUAUUUUGGAGUUUGCAUGUGUAGUUCGCUCAAUGGCAUAAAUGAUGGAUUUACCUAAGCCCCCAGUCCUCGUACAAGAUCUGGUUUUCUUUGAGAAUUGAGAUCUAAGAAACAAGCAAAAGGCACAUGUCAGUCACCCUUAUUAUGCAUGUUCUGCAAAGUAGAUAGCCAACAAAAAGAAAACAAAAAAAAAACAAAAAAAGAGGGAAUGUUCUUAUCUCUUUAUUUUCUCUGGUUUAUUACUCCUGAUUGGAGGUAUUGGUGAAGAUAGCGGCCUAAUCCCCAACAGGGUUGCCAAUUUAUGUGGGGGCUUUUUCGUUCCGGCAGCUACAGAUGGGUUUGGGCUGCUGUAAAGAGCUAAAUGUGUGAAAUUGCCCCUUGAGUUGAAGUUCAAGGAUCAGACCCCAAGAGUGUUUCAAAAGGGUAGUUGAGCCUUAGGAAACACCUUGGUCUUCUUCACCAAUGAAACCAACAGUCGCUUACAGAUAAAUUAUUGGCUUGGCAUGAGAAGCUUGUGGCAUGAGAGUUGAGCAUUCAUGAGUUUAGCAUGAGAGAGAGAAGACUUGGGUUUCCUAUGAGGAAUAGAGGCUUAAAGUAAUGAUUUCAUGAGGAUUUGCUGAGGAGAGAGAGAGAGAGACAUAUAUUAUGGUGGAUGAAUAAGUGCUUUAGGUAAUUUUCCAGCAACUUGACGAAGCUUUCGUCAGGCUCUGGAAUGGCUGACCAGGAGAAAAUGGGAAGCAAUGGAAGAACAAGGCUUGAAAUCGAAGGGUUCCAGAGAUGAAAGUUGAUGCUUGCUCUCUCUGGAUAUGGUUGUUUGCCUUCGAUCGGAAAGAGAGAAAGAAGAUAGAAGCAUGGGUAGCUAUAGUAGAUUUCCAGCAGCUUGACAAAAGCUUCGUCAGGCUCCUGGGUUGCACGACAGAAGAGAAAAUGGGAAGAGAUGGAGGAGUACGGCUCGAAAUUGCAGGGAUUUCAGGGAUGAGAGAUGAUGCUUGCUCUCUGGAUGUGUGUUUAUAGAAAGAGAGGAAGCAGAUGGAAGAACAAAGCAUGAAAUUGAAGGGUUCCAGAGGGGAUGCUUGCCUUCGAUGAGUUGAUCUGGUUGCUGGGAGGCUUGCAGCAACCAAGGUCUGUUUUGAGAUCAGAUCUAAGAUCUCUUUGCUGGGUAGAAAUUGUUUUCUUUUAUAGGCGCUAAAAACCUUAAUUUUGUCAAGCCACUCUCUCCCCUUUUCCUUCACUUUCUUCCAUUCCACCUUAUUUGGUGAAACUUUCCUAGCCUGAGCAUGUAGGCAUGAAGCUUUUUGGAGUUCCAAGACCUUCACACAGCUGGACUUCUCCAUAUGGGUGAGGAGCCACCCACUUUUUCUCCUUGUUUUCUCACCAAAGCUUGCAGAGGAAAGAAUGGGUAAGGGUGCUUGGUCAAAAAGGUGAUUAGCACAUGGGUUUGCUUGGUUUUGGUGGUUUGGCUGCGAUCUAGUUU
rnacentral:lncRNA from 1 species